UUGGUGCUUGCAUCUUGAUUUACAUUUGAGUGAGUGGCGAACUGGUGAGUGACACGUGGGAAACCUGCCCAGAAGCGGGGGAUAACACCUGGAAACAGAUGCUAAUACCGCAUAACAACUUGGACCGCAUGGUCCGAGCUUGAAAGAUGGCUUCGGCUAUCACUUUUGGAUGGUCCCGCGGCGUAUUAGCUAGAUGGUGAGGUAACGGCUCACCAUGGCAAUGAUACGUAGCCGACCUGAGAGGGUAAUCGGCCACAUUGGGACUGAGACACGGCCCAAACUCCUACGGGAGGCAGCAGUAGGGAAUCUUCCACAAUGGACGAAAGUCUGAUGGAGCAACGCCGCGUGAGUGAAGAAGGGUUUCGGCUCGUAAAACUCUGUUGUUAAAGAAGAACAUAUCUGAGAGUAACUGUUCAGGUAUUGACGGUAUUUAACCAGAAAGCCACGGCUAACUACGUGCCAGCAGCCGCGGUAAUACGUAGGUGGCAAGCGUUGUCCGGAUUUAUUGGGCGUAAAGCGAGCGCAGGCGGUUUUUUAAGUCUGAUGUGAAAGCCUUCGGCUCAACCGAAGAAGUGCAUCGGAAACUGGGAAACUUGAGUGCAGAAGAGGACAGUGGAACUCCAUGUGUAGCGGUGAAAUGCGUAGAUAUAUGGAAGAACACCAGUGGCGAAGGCGGCUGUCUGGUCUGUUACUGACGCUGAGGCUCGAAAGUAUGGGUAGCAAACAGGAUUAGAUACCGUGGUAGUCCAUGCCGUACACGAUGGAUGCUAGGGUGUGGAGGGUUUCCCGCCUUCGUGCUGCAGCUAACGCAUUAACAUUCCGCCUGGGGGAGUCGGCCCGCAGGCUAAAC
rnacentral:rRNA from 2 species